rnacentral:rRNA from 1 species
UUCCGGUUGAUCCCGCCGGAGGCCAUUGCUAUCGGAGUCCGAUUUAGCCAUGCUAGUCGCACGAGUUCAGACUCGUGGCGAAAAGCUCAGUGACACGUGGCCAAACUACCCUAUGGACGGAACUAACCUCGGGAAACUGAGGCUAAUGUCCGAUACGGCUCUCAUGCUGGAACGCCGAGAGCCGGAAACGCCCCGGCGCCAUAGGAUGUGGCUGCGGCCGAUUAGGUUGACGGUGGGGUAACGGCCCACCGUGCCAAUAAUCGGUAUGGGUCAUGAGAGUGAGAACCCAGAGACGGUAUCUGAGACAAGAUACCGGGCCCUACGGGGCGCAGCAGGCGCGAAACCUUUACACUGCACGACAGUGCGAUAAGGGGACUCCGAGUGCGAGGGCAUACAGUCCUCGCUUUUCUGUACCGUAGGGUGGUACAGGAACAAGUGCUGGGCAAGACCGGUGCCAGCCGCCGCGGUAAUACCGGCAGCACGAGUGAUGGCCGAUAUUAUUGGGCCUAAAGCGUCCGUAGCUGGCCGGACAAGUCCGUUGGGAAAUCCACCCGCUUAACGGGUGGGCGUCCAGCGGAAACUGUCCGGCUUGGAGCCGGAAGAUCCGAGGGGUACGUCCGGGGUAGGAGUGAAAUCCCGUAAUCCUGGACGGACCGCCGGUGGCGAAAGCGCCUCGGAAGAACGGACUCGACAGUGAGGGACGAAAGCUAGGGUCUCGAACCGGAUUAGAUACCCGGGUAGUCCUAGCUGUAAACGAUGUCCGCUAGGUGUGG